rnacentral:rRNA from 1 species
AUGCCCGGUGGUGGGUUGGCCUUGUCGAUACUUGGGCCUCCCGUAAGCCUAGAAAAGAUCACGGCUGGCCAGUUGCAGUAUAUUGUUGACAAGAUGGCCGACAAGCUCCCCACGUGGCAGGCUAGGAUGAUGGUCAGAGCUGGGAGGCUGGAACUCCACAAAACCACUCUCGCAACAAUGCCAAUCCAUGCUAUGAUGGCAAUUGAUCUUCCAGUCAAAAAAAUUGAAGCUUCCAAUAAGAUUUGUAGAGGCUUCCUAUGGAAGGGGAGACGGGAUGUACACGGUGGACACUGCUUGCUGGCGUGGGAUCAAGUUUGCGCACCAAAGGAGUACGGUGGUCUGGAGGUGCCCAACUUGCGACUGCUCAACACAUCUCUCUGA